UCACAUUAAUUAGAAUGAGAAAAAGUACAACAGAUGUCAAAAUGGAUCAUCAUCCUCAACAUUAUUCCAAAUAAAUCACCCCAUAACAAAAGUAAUCACUCUACAAACAUUAUAACAAAAUCACAUAUAUAACAAAAAUAAUCUCAACACAGAAAUCACCCAACAAACAUAUGCAGAUUCUCUUAUAUAACUAUCUUUUCAUGCCAAUUUCCACCACAGGAGCGGUAGCUACUGGUCGAUUCUGCUUCUCCAUAUUUUCUUCCCAUCCUACAAUCAAGCAAAUUCCAGAACAUUAAACAUCGAGAAAGAGAAGAAGAAGAAGAAGAUGAUGAUGAUGAUGAUGAUGAAGAGGUUGUGGUGGUUUAC
rnacentral:lncRNA from 1 species